rnacentral:tRNA from 1 species
AUUUAUAUAGUUUAAAAUCAAAACAUUACAUUUUCAUUGUAAAAAUAAUUCUCUUUAUUUAUAAAUU